UGUGAGUUACAGAUCCCGGUUUGUUCCAUUAAAGGACCAGUUUGUAAUAAUUAGGGUGAUCUAUUUGCAGAAAUGGAAUAUAUUAUUAAUAAGUAUGUUUUCUUUAGUGUAUAAUCACCUGAAAAUAAGAGUUGUUGUGUUUUCGUUGGCUUUGAAUGAGCCGUGUAUAUCCAUAUAGGGAGCGGGGCCUCUCCACGGAGUCCGCCAUGUUGAUCCGCCAUGUUUCUACAGUACCCCAGAACGGACAAA